rnacentral:rRNA from 1 species
GAUGAACGCUGGCGGCGUGCCUAAUACAUGCAAGUCGAGCGAAUGAUGAGGAGCUUGCUCCUCUGAUUUAGCGGCGGACGGGUGAGUAACACGUGGGUAAUCUGCCUGUAAGACGGGGAUAACUCCGGGAAACCGGGGCUAAUACCGGAUAACAAGAGGAAAUGCAUAUUUCCUUUUUGAAAGUCGGUUUACGCUGACACUUACAGAUGAGCCCGCGGCGCAUUAGCUAGUUGGUGAGGUAAUGGCUCACCAAGGCGACGAUGCGUAGCCGACCUGAGAGGGUGAUCGGCCACACUGGAACUGAGACACGGCCCAGACUCCUACGGGAGGCAGCAGUAGGGAAUCUUCGGCAAUGGGCGAAAGCCUGACCGAGCAACGCCGCGUGAGCGAUGAAGGCCUUCGGGUCGUAAAGCUCUGUUGUUAGGGAAGAACAAGUAUGAGAGUAACUGCUCGUACCUUGACGGUACCUAACCAGAAAGCCACGGCUAACUACGUGCCAGCCGCCGCCGUAACAC